GAUGAACGCUGACAGAAUGCUUAACACAUGCAAGUCUACUUGAAUUUGGGUUUUUUAACUUAGAUUUGGGUGGCGGACGGGUGAGUAACGCGUAAAGAACUUGCCUCACAGCUAGGGACAACAUUCGGAAACGAAUGCUAAUACCUGAUAUUAUGAUUUUAAGGCAUCUUAGAAUUAUGAAAGCUAUAAGCGCUGUGAGAGAGCUUUGCGUCCCAUUAGCUAGUUGGAGAGGUAACUGCUCACCAAGGCGAUGAUGGGUAGCCGGCCUGAGAGGGUGAUCGGCCACAAGGGGACUGAGACACGGCCCUUACUCCUACGGGAGGCAGCAGUGGGGAAUAUUGGACAAUGGACCAAGAGUCUGAUCCAGCAAUUCUGUGUGCACGAUGAAGUUUUUCGGAAUGUAAAGUGCUUUCAGUUGGGAAGAAAGAAAUGACGG
rnacentral:rRNA from 1 species